GACGAACGCUGGCGGCGUGCUUAACACAUGCAAGUCGAACGGAAAGGCCCUGCUUUUGUGGGGUGCUCGAGUGGCGAACGGGUGAGUAACACGUGAGUAACAUGCCCUUGACUUUGGGAUAACUUCAGGAAACUGGGGCUAAUACCGGAUAGGAGCUCCUGCUGCAUGGUGGGGGUUGGAAAGUUUCGGCGGUUGGGGAUGGACUCGCGGCUUAUCAGCUUGUUGGUGGGGUAGUGGCUUACCAAGGCUUUGACGGGUAGCCGGCCUGAGAGGGUGACCGGCCACAUUGGGACUGAGAUACGGCCCAGACGCCUACGGGAGGCAGCAGUGGGGAAUAUUGCGCAAUGGGCGGAAGCCUGAUGCAGCAACGCCGCGUGCGGGAUGACGGCCUUCGGGUUGGAAACCGCUUUCGCCUGUGACGAAGCGUGAGUGACGGUAAUGGGUAAAGAAGCACCGGCUAACUACGUG
rnacentral:rRNA from 1 species